GCAGAGGGUGCUAUACAUGCAAGUCGAGCGGACAGAUGGGAGCUUGCUCCCUGAUGUUAGCGGCGGACGGGUGAGUAACACGUGGGUAACCUGCCUGUAAGACUGGGAUAACUCCGGGAAACCGGGGCUAAUACCGGAUGGUUGUCUGAACCGCAUGGUUCAGACAUAAAAGGUGGCUUCGGCUACCACUUACAGAUGGACCCGCGGCGCAUUAGCUAGUUGGUGAGGUAACGGCUCACCAAGGCGACGAUGCGUAGCCGACCUGAGAGGGUGAUCGGCCACACUGGGACUGAGACACGGCCCAGACUCCUACGGGAGGCAGCAGUAGGGAAUCUUCCGCAAUGGACGAAAGUCUGACGGAGCAACGCCGCGUGAGUGAUGAAGGUUUUCGGAUCGUA
rnacentral:rRNA from 1 species